rnacentral:rRNA from 1 species
AGGGAGAAAUUCAUUCGUGUUUCGUUGUUAAACAAUCAAUUAAAAUUGUGUUACAAUAAAAAAAUUUUUAAAUUUUUUUAAUUGUGCCGUUUAUUUGUUUGUAAAUUAUAUAACGAAUGCGUGCACUUUUCUCCUAGUAGGACAUCGCGAUCCGUCGAGUAUCGGUCUAUGGCUUAACGGUAGCAGACCAUUUACUUUCAAUUUUUAAUUGAAUAGAAAAUGGAUCCGUUUUGUUCCUGGCUGAUUUGCUUAACGGUAUCAAAAUCAUUGGUUUUAUAAUCGGUCGCUAUUAUUUUAAUAAUAAGCGUUCAACUUAUUGCAAGCACAUUAAAUGUAUUAAAAAUUUCCGGACCUAGUGCCGGUUUUAAUCGUUAGUGACUGUUGGCAAUAAUGUUUAUGAACAGACCGAAACAAAAAAAAAAAAACCGAUCAGCGAUGCUAUUGCUUUGGGUAAUUUCAGGACCCGUCUUGAAACACGGACCAAGGAGUCUAGCAUAUACGCAAGUCAUUGGGACUUGAAACUAGACCUAAAGGCAUAAUGAAAGUAAAAAAUUUGUUUAAAUUUUUAAUUUAAACAAAUUAUGGAAAGACAAGUAUUAAUAUUUUUUGAAUAGAAAAUACUUUGCAUUUCCGGGGCGUCUCAUUAUAACUCAUUGCGAGUUGAGGCGCACCAAAAGCGUAUACGCUGGGACCCGAAAGAUGGUGAACUAUGCCUGGUCAGGAUGAAGUCAGGGGAAACCCUGAUGGAAGUCCGUAGCGAUUCUGACGUGCAAAUCGAUCGUCGAACUGGGUAUA